UAGCCAGAUGUUUCCCGUGCGUUGCGAACGAGCGAGCGAAGCCUUUGCCCUCGAGCGACGCCACACCAGACUCUUCGCCCUCGCAGCCGCCGCCGAUCCCCUCCCUCAAACGCCGCCGCCCGUCGUUGCCGCCCCCGCCACCUCCCGUCGCGGGCAGGCGGGAGGAGCCCUGCCCGGCCAUGGCGACACCGACGGCGGCCUCCUCCUCCCCCUCACCUUCUCUCCCUCUCCCAAGGGAGGGAAGGGAAUGGAAGGGAUCUGAUUGGAGCGGUGGAUCUGCGCCCUUGCCGUCUCUUCUUUUCUUCACCGAUUCCACGAGGAGAUCGAAGUGGGAGGUAGACGAGCAGGAGCGCCGCGUCCGCGACAGCGAUGAGCGACGACCCAGGUUCUCCUCUCCCAUGGCAGGGGUCGGCGAGUGGCAACAGAUGCGGGACACCAACUGGUGGCGCAACGGACAGCGAGAGGCGGGACACCAACUGGGCGCGCCUCUCGCGGCCGACUUCCACGGCGGCGACGUCGUUUACCUUGGCGCCUGCUUCUUUUCCGACUCAGCGAUCCCCGCGGGCACCGAUGGACGGCGACGGGCAGCACGUGCGGCCGCGGAGCCGCGCGCUCCUGACCGACGACGAGGAUGACGGGACGUACGCCGGCGACGUGUACAGCGGCAGCCUCGCCGCCACGGGCGGGUCUCGUGCUGGCUGGAUCUUGGGGCGGUAGCAGUACUUGGUGCAGCGCCGCCGCGGCGACUACGGCAGCGUCGGGGUCGUCGUCGUCCUCAUCCGCACAGGGAAGCUGGACUGGGAGGUUUGCUGCUUCCGGUCGGCAGACGAUGGCUAUGACGCUAUGCCCAGCACGAGUGCUAACGCCAUCACGGCCGGCACCACUGGCACAACAGCCGUUCGGUGUGCUCUCCGGGAUGCUGCAGUCGAAGGGUCGAGCAGGAGCUAUGGAUGCCAGCAAACAAGCCUGUGCAGACGGCAAUGCAUCAAUCAAAUCGGAUGGAGAACAUCACACAACAGCCUUUCUCCAGGACAUAAAGAAAAUGGUGGCACUUUGGGUUUUGAAGACGCCGCCUCGCGUAGGACUACAAACAUGGGACGCUCGGUCGAGUUUUUCUUAACUCGUCAGGAUUCUCAUGCUGCAAAUUUAGUAACAGGGAAAAUUUUUGGGUGUCCUGAUGUGUAUGCGGAUUGAUGAAAAUUUGGCGAGGGAGAUCAUAAACCAUCGCUCGCUGCAGCACAUCAAUUGUUGAAUUCGUUUGAAGGAGCUGUCAAUUGUUGAAUUCGCUUGAAGGAGAUGGAGCUUGUUUGGCUGAAUUUGCUACUGAGUUGCCACAUUUUGAGGGCCUGCAAUUGAAGAAUACAACACUUGAGAUAACAAUUGAAGAAUACUAGAGUAAUAAUAACUACUGCAAGAGUGAUGUAUUUUCUUUUUGUUGGAGAUUUUCUGCAUCUUUUAUGGACGGUAACAUUUGAGAUAACAAUUUGAUGUGCUAACCAUCAAGAUCAACUUCGACAUGUUUGGUCUCUAAAAGUUACUAUUGACCAUCAUUGGUGCAUCCUAUAAGAAGGGGAAAAUAAAGCAUUAAUGUGGAGUAUGUUCCAAUGGAAAUCUUCAGGAACACCUUGAAGGUCUGAGUGCAAUUUUUCUUUAGUUCUCUGUGAGCUUAAAAAUGCAACUGGUGUGGCCCAUGCAACUGAGAUUAAAAACAUGGAGAAGAAUCAUAAAAGAUCUCGCUGAAAAUGUCCUCGUUCCGCACUUCGUGUGGACAGGUAGCGCCCUUUACCUUCGAAGUCUCGAAAAAUUGUCUGGGUGAUGCGGGUGCCUCAAUGCUUGAUGCCAUGUUCUGUAAGAGGCCAAGGUUGUAUUUGGGUGUCCACGCGCUACAGGGAAUUACUGUGCGGAGUAGUAAGAAUUGAUUUAAACGUAGAGCCUAGACUCGCACUCCAUGAGCAUCCAUGGCCGGCGAGACAGGACCCUCGACCCUCGGCCUCUGUUGAGAAGGAUCGUUCCACUGUGUCCGAUUUGUAGUACAGAGCAAUCUCAUUCCUCUGAAGUUCCUAUUGGGCAAAAUGGGCAAGAUGUGUUUGGUUAAUGUGUGACUAUCACGUUCCCCACCAAGUGAAAUGUGCUAUUUCACCACAAACAUUGACGAAGUUAAGUUCAGUGAAUGGCGAAAAAUUUAUCAAAGUUGCUGAGGUUCAGGGGUCUGAAAUUAAGCCAUUUGUGGAUAGUUUAUCUAAAUGCCCAAAACCCACUUAGAGCUCCAGAGAGGUCUUGUUUUCUUGUACUAUGGAUUUAAGGUGAUUCUCAAGAGGAACAAGUCGCCAUGGACCGAUGAGAUCGAGAGACGGCUCCGCGAUUGCGUGGAGUGGCGGCUGAGAGGAGAGGCAACAACAACUCGUUGUUCGUGACGGCCCGAGCGUUUGCGAGAGGGGAUGGAGCGGGGGUUGCAUUGUCACGGCCAGUUGCCAUAGUGGAUGGAGUGGUGGCCGCACGGACGCGCUCCUGGAGGUGCCGGUAUGCACCCUGAUUUUGAGCCUGGGAGGUUCCUUGCUCUGCCCUAUCCUCAAGGGUGUUCAUCUACUUCGGUAUCGUGCUCUGGAGUCAGGACGAUGCACUAAUGCAGGUUUGGUUCUUUACUUUUUCAUUUAUUUUGUUUGUAUGCAUAUCCCUGAAUUUUGUGAGCCGUGAUUUAAAUGUUGUCGUGUGUGCCAUUGUGUCCUAUAUAAUUAUUCUAUUGAAGCACCACUGCAACCCAGUUUGUUUAUCAAAUUGAUGCAAGAAACAAACUAAUACAUAGAAAGUAUAAAUUUAUUGCAUUAAUCUGUAUAUCCCUGCACCUAGAGAUAGGUAGAGAUGGAUAAAUUUUGUAGCUUUUUGUUCCCAGUUUUUCCUAUUGAAAUUAUGGAUUUGGAAGCUAAUCAUGGAGUGUUUCGAUUGCCUGCUUACGGAUUCGCAAUGAGCACAAGUCUGCAACCUUGAAGGAAAACCCGUUGCAACUGAUGACAUAAUAUUACGUCGCAACAAGAAUGUAUAGAGCUGCAAAGCUCUGUGGAUCCUUCUCUUCACAAAAGGAAACAAGAGGUAAUGUAAACAAUAGAUUCUCUUGUGAAAUUGCGAUUCAGCCUUGGGGCGUGGAUGGCAAGAAGCGGAGGCGUGUGCCUAGAGUAGCGGACCAUGAUGGAUUGAUGAGCUGAUGUCACGUGACGUACUCACGUGGCGGCUGGUUAGGCUCUGGCGGCUGGAGCCAUCAUCGACCAUGAUGCCACGCCAGGAGCACAAGGGCUAAGACGAGGACAUGUUGGUGCCGAUGAAAUAAGGUGUUGCCGGUUGACGGGGGCCUAACCAUGAGUCUAACUGAAAGUGAACGGGAGCGAUGUGCAGAAAAAAAUCUUAGCACAUAGGCUGAAUUUGUAUAGUAAUUUGAAUUUAUUAGGCAGUACCCCCUCCAUUUGUAUAUCACUUCCGAAUACAAGUUCAGGUUAUUAGGCAGUACUAUUGAAUUUAAGGAUUGAUACUUGAAGAUUUUAAGGUUACUAAAUUUAAUUUAAUUUUUUGACAGCAGGUUACUAAA